GACCUACCUGCCUCUGUGAGGGAGGGAGUUCCUGCGCGGCACGGUUGCGAUGAUCAAUCAUUUCUUCACUAACAAUUUCCACCCUCAUCAUCUCCACCAGCUCGUCGUAUGUGGAGGGAUUCAUGCUGCGCACGUCCCUCCAAAACAAAGUGUUCAUGUUGAGACCACCUUUCAGGGCUGAAAGGGUUUUCCUGUCAGUGACCUGCUCGCAGUAAGUAAUCUCGUCUGUAAACCUGGUGAGAUGGCUUUUCAGCGUCUCUCCAGGGGCCUGCCUCAUGUCUUGCAGGCGUUGGAUUGGUGCCUCUCCUUCUCUGCGUGAGAGGUACUGGUUCAAAAAUGCUUUCUUCAAGUCCGGCCAACUUCUGAUGCUUAGGGGAGGAAGCUUGCUGUACCACACCUCGUCGGCUUCGCCCAGUGUUAAAUGAAAGGCUCUGCACUUUAGAGCAGGUGAGGCUCCCCUAAGACUCAUUUGUGUCAUAUACUUUGUGAGGUGCUUCUCCGGAUCCCCUUUUCCCUCAUACUUGGGGAUCUUAGAGGGCAUGAAGUUAGUUGGCAUUGGGAAGCUUCGAAUUUCCCUUGAGAAAGGGAGGUUAUCGUCAUCGUCGUCAAUCUCAUAAGAUCGACAG
rnacentral:lncRNA from 1 species